GCCCUCGUAGCUCAGCUGGAUAGAGCGUCUGGCUUCGAACCAGAAGGUCGUGGGUUCAAAUCCUGCCGGGGGCACCA
rnacentral:tRNA from 2 species